CCCCAGAUGUUGCUGAACUACAACUCCCAUGAUUCCCUGCCCACCUGUUUCGUUGAAAGAAUCAUGGGAGUUGUAGUUCAGCAACAUCUGGGG